rnacentral:tRNA from 1 species
UGGGAUAUAGCUCAGUGGUGGAGCGCAUGCUUAGCAUGCACGAGGUCCUGGGUUCCAUCCCAGUACCUCCA